AAUUAUGGUGAGCUGGACAAGGCAGCUUUCGGGCUGGCCGUCAUCCUUGUAGAGCGGUAGUACCAACCUUGUUCAGUUCACCACCCAU
rnacentral:antisense_RNA from 1 species